rnacentral:rRNA from 1 species
CGUGUAGGCGGUUGGUUAAGUCGGAUGUGAAAGCCUGGGGCUCAGCCCCAGAAGUGCAUCCGAAACUAUCCAGCUAGAGCGCGAUAGAGGAGGGUGGAAUUCCUGGUGUAGCGGUGAAAUGCGUAGAUAUCAGGAGGAACACCGGCGGCGAAGGCGGCCCUCUGGAUCGUUGCUGACGCUGAGACGCGAAAGCGUGGGGAGCAAACAGGAUUAGAUACCCUGGUAGUCCACGCCUUAAACGAUGGGGUACUAGGUGUUCGGGGUGUUGACCCCCUGAGUGCCGCAGUUAACGCAUUAAGUACCCCGCUGGGGACUACGGCCGCAAGGUUAA